GAAAUAAUUCAGUGGCUGAUCCGUUAUGUUUAAUAUAACAGACCAAUGCUACCCACGACAACUUGCUGUUUAACACAAUGAGAGAAUUCAGAAGGCACAGUAACAUCUGAAUCUGAACGUGAUGUUAUGAAAGAUGUUGAUUGUAUAGUAAUUUCACAAAAUGCUCCCAAACACAUCUGCAAGAUUAAUCCAGAAAAGCUGUAAUACCAUAUAUUUUGCAAACAGUGCAUCAACCUUUUGUCUACCUCACUGCCUUGUUGAGAUUAAAGUGGAACAUUACCUAACUAUGAUCCAUAAACCUAUUUGAAUGAAAAAUACUAACACAAAAUUUAAUGAAAAUCUUUUGAGUUCCGGAACUAUAUUUUAGAACAAAAACUUCAAAUAUUCGAAAAUUAGUUGAAGAUUGAAUCAAUGGCAGCAGCUGGCAUAAAAGGAUAUCAGCACUAUUAAUCUUAAUAACCAUCUCAAAACCGAGUAAGAUGUACAACCUUGUUAUUGUAAACCAGAAGCUUAAGGUAUUCAUUGGUUUUUGGCGAAAACAGAGAGAUAUGGAGGCAGAUAUGCAGUUGCCAGUUAAGGUACGACUUAUUUAGUCUCUGAUGGCCACUAUCGUUGAUGUAAACAUUAUAGUACAUCUAAAUUUCGUCUUAAAACUUCAAAACAAAGAACAUGAACUUCAUAAUGUUUACAUUGGAUCAUUUAAUUAUAA